rnacentral:rRNA from 1 species
AUUGAACGCUGGCGGCAUGCUUUACACAUGCAAGUCGAACGGUAACAGGCCGCAAGGUGCUGACGAGUGGCGAACGGGUGAGUAAUGCAUCGGAACGUGCCCAGUCGUGGGGGAUAACGCAGCGAAAGCUGCGCUAAUACCGCAUACGAUCUAUGGAUGAAAGCGGGGGACCGAAAGGCCUCGCGCGAUUGGAGCGGCCGAUGUCAGAUUAGGUAGUUGGUGGGGUAAAGGCCCACCAAGCCAACGAUCUGUAGCUGGUCUGAGAGGACGACCAGCCACACUGGGACGGAGACACGGCCCAGACUCCUACGGGAGGCAGCAGUGGGGAAUUUUGGACAAUGGGCGCAAGCCUGAUCCAGCAAUGCCGCGUGCAGGAAGAAGGCCUUCGGGUUGUAAAGCUCUUUUGUCAGGGAAGAAAAGGCUGCAGCUAAUAUCUGCGGCUCAUGACGGUACCUGAAGAAUAAGCACCGGCUAACUACGUGCCAGCCGCCGCCGUAAAAC